rnacentral:lncRNA from 1 species
GCCCUGAACCACGCUAUCUGCAGCUCUGGAAACAAUAUUUAGUCAAAUCUAAAGAGAAGUAAACAACUGAUGUAGCUGUUCCUCCCUUGGCUGAGGAGUUCAUUAUUUUCACUCUGAUAAGCUGCUCAACAGUAUAGGGUCAAUGGGCAACCACCAAAGCUGAUAUUUCUACAGAAAUCGAGUACCUCGCGAGUUGUUAUCAACUUUAUGAGUCAUUACACAUUUCUUUUGAAAAAGGACAGAGGGUUUUGUUUUCCUCACUAAGUGCUGAGAAGCUGCUCUCUGUCUCUUCUCUUUUACUAACAUCUCAUUCUUUGGGUUCCUUAGGGUAGUGGCUGAUGAGGAAAUAAUUCACAACAGUUUAAUUUUUCACAACUCAGGUAGGAAGAAGGCAUUUAGUACAACAAUAUCCUCAAACGUCCAGUGCACUUGCUCUUAUGAUUGUGUAUCAAGAUCCCUGCAGUUGGUUGUCAAUCCUUGAACCAUCCCGGUAUCUACUUCUCUGGUUUUUACCCCUCUUCACCACUAGAAUCAUAGACUGUAUAUGUCCAGCAUUUCUACUCCUGUAUCAGAUCAAAGUGUGGUCUAAAAACCUUAGCAAACUUGGGAAUCUAGGCUUUCAGCUUCCUCAGGCUAGUCAAACUGCUUUCAGAAUCUAAAACUACCAGCAAAAACAGGUUCUUUUGUAAACUCUAUCUUGUCAAAAAAAAAAGAAGAAAAGAGAGAUGGAUAAGAUGGAUAUAUAUUAUCACCAGUCUCUGGCGUAUGAUGAAAGGUUUGACUAAACUUACUUAGGAAGCAUAUUCCUGUUAACAACAAUUCCAGGCAUGUUCCUUUGAGUAUAAAUACACGCAUGUACUUCAGAGAAUGUAAAUCCACAGAGUCAUUUGUUGUGAUUGGCUCUUGGGCCUUUGGCAGCUAAUGCUGUCUCAGCCGAGAAAAUUGCUGUGAGGUGAGUUCUGACAGGUCCGGGUGUACCAAAGCAGAGGCCAUACUGCAGGCGACUUUCACUUUCAGUGAAACUACCUUAAUUGAGUCUUUUGGUAACUUCCAGCCAAUAAAUAGCUAGUCAC